UCCAGACUCCUACGGGAGGCAGCAGUGGGGGAUAUUGCACAAUGGGGGGAACCCUGAUGCAGCGACGCCGCGUGGGUGAAGGAGCGUUUCGGCGCGUAAAGCCCUAUCGGCAGGGAAGAAGGAGGACGGUACCUGGCUAAGAAGCCCCGGCUAACUACGUGCCAGCAGCCGCGGUAAUACGUAGGGGGCAAGCGUUAUCCGGAUUUACUGGGUGUAAAGGGGGCGCAGACGGCAGCGCAAGCCAGGAGUGAAAGCCCGGGGCCCAACCCCGGGACUGCUCUUGGAACUGCGCGGCUGGAGUGCAGGAGGGGCAGGCGGAAUUCCUGGUGUAGCGGUGAAAUGCGUAGAUAUCAGGAGGAACACCGGUGGCGAAGGCGGCCUGCUGGACUGCGACUGACGUUGAGGCCCGAAAGCGUGGGGAGCAAACAGGAUUAGAUACCCGAGUA
rnacentral:rRNA from 1 species